UUAUAAUUAGUUUAAACUAAAAUAUGUUGCUUCUAACUACAUGAACCUUUUUUCUGGAUUAUAAA
rnacentral:tRNA from 1 species